GACGAACGCUGGCGGCGUGCUUAACACAUGCAAGUCGAACGGAAAGGCCCUGCUCUUGUGGGGUGCUCGAGUGGCGAACGGGUGAGUAACACGUGAGUAACCUGCCCUUGUCUUUGGGAUAACUUCAGGAAACUGGGGCUAAUACCGGAUAGGAGCUCCUGCUGCAUGGUGGGGGUUGGAAAGUUUCGGCGGUAGGGGAUGGACUCGCGGCUUAUCAGCUUGUUUGUGGGGUAGUGGCUUACCAAGGCUUUGACGGGUAGCCGGCCUGGGAGGGUGACCGGCGACAUGGGGACUGAGAUACGGCCCAGACGCGUACGGGAGGCAGCAGUGGGGAAUAUUGCACAAUGGGCGGAAGCCUGAUGCAGCAACGCCGCGUGCGGGAUGACGGCCUUCGGGUUGUAAACCGCUUUCGCCUGUGACGAAGCGUGAGUGACGGUAAUGGGUAAAGAAGCACCGGCUAACUACGUG
rnacentral:rRNA from 1 species